GACGAACGCUGGCAGCGUGCCUAACACAUGCAAGUCGAGCGGAGAUAAUAGCAAUGUUAUCUUAGCGGCGGACGGGUGAGUAACGCGUGGGUAACCUGCCUUAUACAGGGGGAUAACACAGGGAAACUUGUGCUAAUACCGCAUAACAUCAGACCAUCACAUGGUGGACUGAUCAAAGGAGCAAUCCGGUAUAAGAUGGACCCGCGUCCGAUUAGCUAGUUGGAGGUGUAACGGACCACCAAGGCGACGAUCGGUAGCCGAACUGAGAGGUUGAUCGGCCACAUUGGGACUGAGACACGGCCCAGACUCCUACGGGAGGCAGCAGUGGGGAAUAUUGCGCAAUGGGGGAAACCCUGACGCAGCAACGCCGCGUGAAGGAUGAAGGUUUUCGGAUUGUAAACUUCUUUAGUCGGGGACGAACAAAUGACGGUACCCGAAGAAUAAGCCACGGCUAACUACGUGCCAGCAGCCGCCGUAA
rnacentral:rRNA from 1 species